rnacentral:rRNA from 1 species
AUUGAACGCUGGCGGCGUGCUUAAGACAUGCAAGUCGAACGGCAGUCUUCGGACUGUAGUGGCGCACGGGUGAGUAACGCGUAACUGACCUACCCCAAAGUCGCGGAUAACGAUUCGAAAGAAUCGCUAAUACGUGAUGUGCUGUCAGAUUGUGUUCUGCCAGUAAAGAUUGAUUGCUUUGGGAUGGGGUUGCGUUCCAUCAGCUAGUUGGUGGGGUAAAGGCCCACCAAGGCGACGACGGAUAGCCGGCCUGAGAGGGUGGCCGGCCACAGGGGCACUGAGACACGGGUCCCACUCCUACGGGAGGCAGCAGUUAGGAAUCUUCCACAAUGGGCGAAAGCCUGAUGGAGCGACGCCGCGUGAGGGAUGAAGGUCUUCGGAUCGUAAACCUCUGAAUCAGGGACGAAAGACACUUCGGUGGGAUGACGGUACCUGAGUAAUAGCACCGGCUAACUCCGUGCCAGCAGCCGCCGUAACAC